GACGAACGCUGGCGGCGUGCUUAACACAUGCAAGUCGAACGGAAAGGCCCUGCUUUUGUGGGGUGCUCGAGUGGCGAACGGGUGAGUAACACGUGAGUAACCUGCCCUUGACUUUGGGAUAACUUCAGGAAACUGGGGCUAAUACCGGAUAGGAGCUCCUGCUGCAUGGUGGGGGUUGGAAAGUUUCGGCGGUUGGGGCUGGACUCGCGGCUUAUCAGCUUGUUGGUGGGGUAGUGGCUUACCAAGGCUUUGACGGGUAGCCUGCCUGAGAGGGUGACCGGCCACAUAGGGACACGGAUACGGCCCGGACGCAAACGGCAGGAAUCGGUGGGAAUAUUGCACAAUGGGCGGAAGCCUGAUGCAGCAACGCCGCGUGCGGGAUGACGGCCUUCGGGUUGUAAACCGCUUUCGCCUGUGACGAAGCGUGCGUGACGGUAAUGGGUAAAGAAGCACCGGCUAACUACGUG
rnacentral:rRNA from 1 species